rnacentral:rRNA from 1 species
UGCGUAGGCGGUUUUAUAAGUCACUUGUAAAAGAUCUCAGCCCAACUGAGUAAGGCGAGUGAAACUGUAAGACUUGAAUACGGUAGAGGUAGGUGGAAUUCCAUGUGUAGCGGUGGAAUGCGUAGAUAUAUGGAGGAACACCAAUGGCGAAGGCAACUUACUGGGCCGGAAUUGACGCUGAGGCACGAAAGCGUGGGGAGCAAACAGGAUUAGAUACCCUGGUAGUCC